CAAUAGCGUAUAUUAAAGUUGUUGCGGUUAAAAAGCUCGUAGUUGGAGUUCUGCCAGGUGCCGUCUGUCCGCCCCAGUGGUGAGUACGUGACGCGCAUUUGGCCCUUUCAAGGGGAGCGUAUCUGCACUUUACUGUGUGGUGCGGGAUCCUUGACUUUUACUUUGAGGAAAUAGGAGUGUUCCAAGCAGGCUCUCGUCGUGCACAGCUCAGCAUGGAAUAAUAGCAUUGGACCUCGAUUCUAAGCUGUUGGUUGCCAGAAGCGAGGUAAUGAUGAAGAGGGAUAGUUGGGGGCAUUCGUAUUUAACUGUCAGGGGUGAAAUUCUUGGAUUUGUUAAAGACGGACUACUGCGAAAGCAUCUGCCAUGGAUGUUUUCAUUGA
rnacentral:rRNA from 1 species